GCUACGAAUUAGCCUAAGUUAUUAAAGAUGGCGGCGGAGCGGAGUCGCUUCCCGAUGGACUCGCCGGUCCCUGCCUCUAUGUUCGCCCCCGAGCCCAGCUCUCCGGGGGCGGCCAGGGCCGCGGCGGCUGCCGCCCGGCUACACGGCGGCUUCGACUCGGACUGCAGCGAGGACGGCGAGGCGCUCAACGGCGAACCGGAGCUAGACCUCACCAGCAAGCUGGUUCUAGUGAGCCCUACAUCAGAGCAGUAUGACAGCCUACUUCGGCAAAUGUGGGAGAGGAUGGACGAGGGAUGCGGAGAGACCAUAUAUGUCAUUGGGCAGGGAUCAGAUGGGACUGAGUACGGGCUGAGUGAAGCUGACAUGGAGGCCUCCUAUGCCACAGUGAAGAGCAUGGCAGAACAGAUAGAGGCCGAUGUCAUCCUCCUCCGAGAACGUCAAGAAGCUGGGGGCCGUGUGCGCGAUUACCUGGUCCGGAAACGAGUAGGAGACAAUGACUUCCUGGAAGUCAGGGUAGCGGUAGUGGGCAACGUGGAUGCCGGCAAAAGCACGCUUCUGGGGGUCCUGACCCACGGGGAGCUGGACAAUGGCCGAGGCUUCGCCCGCCAGAAACUCUUCCGCCACAAACAUGAGAUUGAAUCUGGUCGCACCAGCAGUGUGGGCAAUGACAUUCUGGGCUUUGACAGUGAAGGCAAUGUGGUAAACAAGCCAGACAGCCAUGGUGGCAGCCUGGAGUGGACAAAGAUCUGUGAGAAAUCCACUAAGGUGAUUACUUUCAUCGACUUGGCCGGCCAUGAGAAGUACCUGAAGACCACUGUCUUUGGCAUGACUGGCCAUUUGCCUGACUUCUGCAUGCUCAUGGUGGGCAGCAAUGCUGGCAUCGUGGGGAUGACAAAGGAGCACCUGGGCUUGGCAUUGGCACUCAAUGUGCCUGUCUUUGUGGUGGUCACCAAGAUUGACAUGUGUCCUGCCAACAUCCUGCAAGAAACCCUGAAGCUGUUACAGCGCCUGCUGAAGUCACCCGGCUGCCGCAAGAUCCCUGUGUUGGUGCAGAGCAAGGAUGAUGUGAUUGUUACAGCCUCCAACUUCAGCUCUGAGAGGAUGUGCCCGAUAUUCCAAAUCUCCAACGUUACAGGCGAGAACCUAGAUCUGCUGAAGAUGUUCCUCAACCUGCUGUCCCCUCGUACCAGUUACCGGGAGGAAGAGCCUGCUGAGUUUCAGAUUGACGACACCUACUCUGUCCCGGGUGUGGGAACAGUGGUGUCGGGGACAACACUGAGGGGCCUGAUCAAGCUGAAUGACACGCUGCUGCUGGGCCCAGAUCCUUUGGGUAACUUCCUGUCCAUUGCGGUCAAAUCGAUCCAUCGCAAGCGCAUGCCUGUCAAGGAGGUGCGGGGGGGCCAGACGGCCUCCUUCGCGCUGAAGAAGAUCAAGCGCUCGUCCAUCCGGAAGGGCAUGGUGAUGGUUUCUCCACGCUUGAAUCCCCAAGCAUCCUGGGAGUUCGAGGCCGAGAUCCUUGUCCUUCACCACCCCACCACAAUCAGCCCGCGGUACCAGGCCAUGGUGCACUGUGGGAGCAUCAGGCAGACAGCCACCAUCCUGAGCAUGGACAAGGACUGUCUGCGCACCGGGGACAAGGCCACCGUGCAUUUCCGCUUUAUCAAGACCCCCGAGUACCUGCACAUAGACCAGCGGCUGGUGUUCCGGGAAGGCCGCACCAAGGCUGUAGGCACCAUCACUAAGCUCCUCCAGACCACCAACAAUUCCCCAAUGAACUCCAAGCCCCAGCAGAUUAAAAUGCAAUCGACGAAAAAGGGUCCCCUGCCCAAACGAGAAGAGGGAGGUCCCUCUGGAGGGCCAGCAGUAGGGGCACCCCCAACUGGAGAUGAAGCUUGCUCUCUAGCGGCUGCGCAGCCAGCUGCAUCCGGCAGUCUCCAGCCACAGCCCAAGCCCAGCAGCGGGGGCCGGCGACGGGGGGGCCAGCGUCACAAGGUGAAGUCCCAGGGGGCCUGCAUGACUCCCGCCAGCGGCUGCUGAAUCUCCCCCAGCCCACCUCCACCACCCAAGGGAUCCUCGUUCUCUGGCCACCACUCCACCAGAUGGGCCAGAGCAACUCUGACCACCGCUCGCCCUCCCCCAGGCCACACCCGGAGCCUUGUCAUUCCCCCCACCCCCAUUUUCCGGGGGGUUGUAAUUUAUAAGCUGAGGAAGGUGGCCAGACUUGUGGAGGACUGACCAUCUCCGACCCUCUUCCCCUCCUUCUUCCUCACUCACACCUUUUUUGUACAUCUGGGCCCUUAGUUUUUAUUCUUUUUAUUAUCUAUCUAUCUAUCUAGUGUGCGUGUGCGUGUGCGUGUGUGAGGGCGUGUGAGGUGCAGGAGUACGGCCGGUCAGGGCCUGGCAGUCUUCCCCUUUCUCCUCCGUGGCUGGCCACCAGCCUCCAGGAGCUAGCUGGCUGCCUGUCUGUCCGUGCGUUCGUGUGUCUCUGUGAGAACCUUUCAGGGCCGUCAGGAGCCGAAGCGCGCCCUCCUUCCCUGUGCUCACUCGCCAGUGCGCCUGGAGCCCCGCCACGGAGCCGCCUCCAGGCUGAGGGGCGUCCAGGGAAGUAUCUGCUGCUGCCAGAGCAGGGGGCCGUCCUCCUGUGACUUGGGCAUCUCAGCAGAGUGGAGAGCGGUGGUUCCCCUUUUCUCUUUCUCCCUCUUGUUUCCCUUAAACCCCCAAACAGGUAAUGCCAAAAGCUCUUAGGCUGUAACUGUAGACGUGUGGAGGGUGUUGGUGACUGAGUUGUAGGCCCCUCCUUGCCCCUCUGACCUUGCCACUGACCUGAAGACAGCUGUGACUCUUCUUUCCCCUUGGAGACAAUCCUUUGUUUGCCUGGCUGGCUGGGGUGACUCCUCUUCUGCAGAGUCUGCGGAGCUGGGGGCUUUCACCUCGCCCUGGGGCCGCCUCCUGCUUGGACUUUGACUCCGAUUCCUGUUGGGCCUCAGGGCACUGAUGAUCGGGCCUGGGGUCCGCCUGCUCAGGGUCACGGUCAACAGCACCUCCUGUUGGCGGGGGUGCCAGGUGUUCCUCUGAGCCAGGCCGGGACUGGAACCCCUCCUUCCCCGCCACAUCGCCCCAGCAUGGCUGCUACAGGAGCCCAGCAGUGAAGGGCCUGAGCCCCAGAUUUGGAAGCUCCAGCUGGGGUACAGGGAGAGCAGGUAGGAGGUAGUAAAAAAGAUUCUUCCAGACCCAGCUCAGAGCAUUAAGCCCUUUGGGAGAAUCAAUGCCAGGAGUGGGGAUGGUGUUGCCCAGGCCAGAGAUGGCAGCAUGGGCCCCGAACCAGCCUGCUCAGAGCUGUGGACUGAAGCCCUCUCUUUAGGGUGGACUGAUGGGCAGAGAUACAUUCUUUCUCUAGCCUGGGACACCCACCUGGCUGGGUCCUUCCUCAGCCUCGCCUCCCUUCCAUCCCCAACCCUUUGCCGCCACUCCUGCUUCCGGACUGCUGCUCCCCUCUCCUCCCCUCCUAACUGUUUCUAGUUACCACUGACCUGUGGCCAUGGACCGACCAAACCAGCACACAAAAUAAAAGUUUGUUCCAAGUUGACGGUGUCCUGUUCCCUGCCCAGCCCCUCCAGGUGGAGGUGCGGCCACGGGGAACUCCGUUGCUCUGCCUGCCCUAGAGCCCCCGGCUGCGGGCUGGGCCGGGAGGGGCCCAGCUUCUCCUGUCAGGCAGGCAUGGCUUCAAAACCCAGACUCCUUCGCCAGCUGUGACACAGGACACGUUGCCGUCCUCUGAACCUCAGUUUCCUCAUCCACAGCAAGAGCUGUGAUGGGGCCCCUCCCUGGGCCAGGUGCCAUGGUCAGGAUGAGAGGCGUGUGUUGAGAGUCCACCUGGGCAACCACCCCUGGCCCUCGGAGCUGCUCAUUGGAGGCACUGAAUCUGGGGAGAUAUGUGCAGGGAAGGGCCAGGACCUGCUCCCUGGAACUGGCAAGAUUCUGGCUGGCUCUUCAGGGGACCCACCUCGUGCCAUCCCAACACAGGUACAAGGGACAAGGGUUUAGCUCCCACGGAGCGGGCUGCAGCACUGACGGCGGACGAGCUUGGCAGUGAAGGGGGUAACUUCUACCCUCUGCUCCAGUGGCGCUGAGAGACGCAGGACAGGCCUCCUGCUUCCCAGUGGGACUGGGACGUCAGUGAUGGCUAAUAAAGCCACUCACUUUCUCCCGCCAGCCCUUGAGCCCAGAGUCACAGGCACCGGGCCUGCCUCAGGUCCCACCUCCCAUCACAGCUGAGUUUUAGCCAAGAAGCCUGCGUUUCUAAAGCUUAGGAGGAAGCCUUUGGGGCACUGUUUUGGCUAAGAAUUCAUUCUCUUUUUCCCAAGAGCAGGGUCCCGUGCAGUGGCCAGAUAAAAACCACACACUCCACUAAUCCUGGGCAUAAUUUAUUUUUUGCAUAGGCAUAAAUUAGAAUCUGGAGAUACAAAAUUAAGAACCAAUAGUGCAGCAUUUGUGACAGGAGAGCGCAAAACAAAACCUGGUUGUCUGGAGGCAGGGCCAGUGCCAGAGGACCGAUCACAGGAUGGCUGGGGCCUCGCCUUCGUUCCAGCUCCGUCCUCCAUUCAGGUCGCCCACCUGCACAGCAGCCUUUCCUGCCCCCUCCCCACAGGCCGGAACGAACCACAGAGUUGGAACCAGUGCCCCAAGGCCCUCUUGGCAGCCAGGUUACAAGGACCUGAACUCACCCGAGGCCCCACAGAACGGGGCUAGGAAUCAAGCUCUUAGCUUUUCAGUUAAAAAACAGACCUUGAAAAAUACAUAAUAGAGCAGGGCCUGCUGGGUCCAAAAGCUCCCACCUCAGCCCCCCCUCCUAACCCAGCCCCCCACCCUUGUCUGUCCCCCAUAGAAAAUGAGUCAGAAUAGAAUAGAAACAGAAUUGAGCAAGAGCUGAGAGAGCCCCCAGGGGCGGCUUAGGGUUAGGGGGCCUCUUACAUCAGCGGCCUGAUAGGGGUGGGGCAGGGCCAACAGUGCAGACCUCCUCCCACCGUGGCACCCUGAGUGUCACUGUCAGUCAUUGUAUCGCUGGGCCACCACAAGAGUCCAGGGAGUCCCCUGAACACUUCUAGCUGACCCCAGAUGUUUAUGGCCUCGAAGGACAGGUCUGGGCACCCUGGGGAAUGCAGCAAGCUUGUGCUGGGGCACAGGUGGGCCCUAGCAAGGAGUGGGGAGCAGAGUGGGCCCCAAUCCCAGCAUCAGGAGAAAGCAACUACUGUCCCCAGCAGAGGGGACUCCUACAGGGCCACAGAAGCAGUAACCCUCAGGCUCUCAGGAGCCAGACCCUCCAGGGUAGAAGAAGCCCCACGGCCCACCCUGACCCACCCUGAUCCAGGACAAAUACAGCGUAUAGAAGCCCUUCAGGAAUGCUGUGGGCCUAGGCUGAUGGCACUAGCUUUCUGGAGGAGCCCAGCUGCCUUCUCCCAGGAGCUUCCUGCCUGGGGACCAGUCCCAGCCUGCACCCUCCUCCCAGAGGACCUUACUUCUCUGCCUAGGGAGGGGGCACAGCUCAGCUGCCCCAGGCCCUAACCUGUUUCACCCACGGCUUUGGCACCUGCUUCAUUUAUGCAGCUCCCUGGGUGCCAGCCCCCGCACAUGGGCAAGGGGCAGGCAGGUCUCGUCCACCUUUGCCGGAACAUGGGCACUCAUCCCGUCUCUCCCUGCCUCGACUUCCCACAACAUGCUACAUAUAUACACCCUCGCAGGAGGGAGAAGAAGACACCCAGUGCCCAGCGCCCAGAGAACAAAGAAGGAAAAGAGACGCCGGAGCCUGCUGACCGCUAGAGCCACCCGGUGCUCAGGAAGAGCCUGCGCAUUCCUUCUAAUCUCCGCUGGGCCAGGGGCUCUUCUUGCCUGCUCCCGGAAGUCAGUGCGCUUCAAGCGUGUGGGGGCAGAGGCGGGGGUGCUGUGCAGCCACCCCCAGAGCAGGGGGCACGUGCCGAGAGGAGCUGGCCUCCCCGCUGGCAGCGGCAGCGGCACAGAGAAGGCCUAGUGGGUGGGUUCCCCAUGCACCCUGAAGCGGUAGAUGCAGGUGUACUCCGGGUGGCCCCAGUUAGUCAAGAUCCGCAGCUCCACCACCUGGUACGUGGCCAUUUUAGGGCCCUG